rnacentral:lncRNA from 1 species
CUAAAGUCUGGGGAAGAGAAAAGCUGUUGCACAGCCUUGUUGACUUCGGUCCAGGGAAGAGACCUGGCUCACUGGCUUCUUUCCUCAUCCAUAGGCUGGCUCCGAGACCUAUGUGGUGAGCCAAGGCCAUGGGUCUGCCUUUGGGCUUCUUUUGCUUCCACCUGUUCCUCUGGUUUCUUUUUCCUUAACCUCAGGUUGACAUCUGUCAGAAAAUUUGGUAGCCACCAAAGUCAGGGCCCACCUAGUCUGUCUUAACAACAGCGAACAACUCCAUCCUCCUCAGCUGUGGUGCUGUCAACAGCAAAGUGAAGGCUGGACCUGAAGUCUCUGGACGUUAGACGCUGGGUGGAGACGGGAGCUGUGAGCAUCGGAGGACAUCAAAAUAACGGCCACAGUGAUAUUCACUGUAAAGAGAAUUCUUCAGGGUGGAGAACUGCAUCUCUAUGUCACCAUCAACUCCUUCCCGAGGCCAGCAUUGAUCUAUAUCUGCAUCAGAACCAGACCUGGGUUCAUAGGUCAGAACCCACCUCCACAACCGCAACCGCAUGGCAAAAGAAAGCAAGAGAAGUCCCAGGUCUGCUCCUCCUGCUGAACUUCCUAACUCUGGAGAAACUCCAGGCUGAGAAGCUCGGCCAUCAAAUAGUAGCAUGA